UUUAGUUGUUGGAUAGUUGGUCGCUGUGCUGAAAAUCUUCCAGAACAUAUUCCUGACCUACGCUCCUAAGCACAGAUCUAGGAUCAGCUCAUCCUCAUCAAAUCCAAACCAGGACGUUUAGAAUUCACAAGGGGAACACUGACCUCAGACCAGCGUUUAAACCCCACGUCUUCCUGCCUAGACACUGACUCUCUGUCCAGAGUUCCUCUGUGCUCCAGCCGUAUAUCCAUCCAGCCAUGGGUCUGAUGAGCGAGGACAUGGAGUGCUGCGUCUGCCUCCAGCCCUACUCUCGUAGGGAGAAGAUCCCUCGGAUGCUCCACUGUAAGCACACAUUCUGUGGGCUGUGCUUGCAGGCGAUGUCCAGGCUCCAGAGCGGCCUACUGACAGUAUGCUGCCCCCUGUGCCGUUGGAUCACCUGCACCGAGCCCAGCCUCACCGUGUCGGGGUCGCUGUGGGUUAACACUGAGAUCUGGGACCAGAUACUAGACACACACCAGGAAGAGGAGGAGGAGGAGGAGGAAGAGGAGGAAGAGUGAAAGGAAGCUAACAGACAGACACAGACCACUACACAGUACACAUGGUCUCCAUCAAAGCAUUGUGGCCUGAGGAUCAAACUACAGAAUUUCCUGAGGAGGAUGAAGCACAAUGUACUGUAAACCGAGAAGAAGAAGAGCAGAGAAGAAGAAGACUGUAUUUGACCAUUUCAGAGUAGGAGAUACUCAUUGAGUAAUGAAGAUAAUUCACCAAACAGGACCGACCGGUGAUUUUCCAUAAUGAAGCAAGAUUGAACCAAUUAUUAAUAUGCUUUGGGUUUGAUUGACUUUGGGUAUGUGUAAUGUUCUCAGUCAACUUACCUGGUAAAAUAAGGAUUCAAUUAUAAUAUUAAUAAUAAAGGAUGGAUUGGGGGAGGGAAUAAAAAAUAAGAUUUUAAAUGGAUUGAGGAUGAAAGAAAGAUCAAGGAAGUUAUGGAAGGAAGGAAGUUAUGGAAGGAAGGAAGUUAUGGAAGGACGUAAGGAAGGAAGUUAAGGAAGGAAGGAAGUUAUGGAAGGACGGAAGGAAGGAAGUUAUGGAAAGACGGAAGGAAGGAAGUUAUGGAAGGACGGAAGGAAGGAUGUUAUGGAAGGAAGUUAUGGAAGGAAGGAAGUUAUGGAAGGAAGGAAGUAAGUUAAGGAAGGAAGUUAUGGAAGGAAGGAAGGAAGUUAUGGAAGGAAGGAAGGAAGUUAUGGAAGGAAGGAAGGAAGUUAUGGAAGUUAUGGAAGGAAGGAAGUUAUGGACGGACGGACAGACAGAUAGAUGGGUGAAGGUUAGAGACUGUAUGCUGUACAAUGUGUGCCGGUUACAAUACAAUAUACUGUGAACUAUAUUUAUAAUAGAUGUUUAAAGAUUUGAUAAAAGGUGUAUUACUGCGUGAAGAGAAGUAGAUGUUUAGUAUUUUUUAUUACAUCAUUUUAGAACAGUUUAAUAUUGCAGUGUUGUUUUUUAUGUGUUUUUUAUUUAUGUGUUUUUAUGUUGUUUAAAAAAAAUAAGUAAUGUAAUUGUCUGCAUCAUUUCCAAUCCCCCAUAUAAGGGAAGUGGGAUUUGUUUAUCCUCAUUUGACAUGUUUUAUUUAUCUGUUCUGUUUGAAGAGCAUG